rnacentral:rRNA from 1 species
AGUGAACGCUGGCGGUGGGCCUAACACAUGCAAGUCGAACGGCAGCACCGUAAGAGCUUGCUCUUACGGGUGGCGAGUGGCGGACGGGUGAGGUAUACAUCGGAAUCUACUUUUUCGUGGGGGAUAACGUAGGGACACUUACGCUAAUACCGCAUACGACCUACGGGUGAAAGCAGGGGAUCUUCGGACCUUGCGCGAUUGAAUGAGCCGAUGUCGGAUUAGCUAGUUGGCGGGGUAAAGGCCCACCAAGGCGACGAUCCGUAGCUGGUCUGAGAGGAUGAUCAGCCACAGUGGAACUGAGACACGGGCCACACUCCUACGAGAGGCAGCAGUGGAGAAGAUAGGACAGUAGGCUCAAUCCUGAUCCAGCCAUACCGGGUGGGUGAACAAGGCGUUCGGGUUGUAAAGCCCUUUUGUGGAGAAAGAAAAGCAGAAGGUUAAUACCCCGCUGUGGUGACGGUACCCAAAGAAGAAGCACCGGCUAACU